GAAAUCUACAACUCGUCUUUCUCGCUCACUCGUCCACCGGACUCUUGAGCCUAUAUAUUUAUCAAACCUGUCCGCUGGUUGGGCUUCGAAGGCUUCUCCGCUUCUACGUCAUUGCCUUGCCUGCAAGCAGAGCAUCCCAACGGACUCCUUGUCUCCUCUCCUUCCUCACAGGCUGUCGCGUUUUACCCAUUCCCUGAUCGUCGCUGAUGGCAGCGGCAAGCCAAGCAAGUUUGCUCCUUCAGAAGCAACUGAAAGAUCUCAGCAAAAAUCCGGUGGACGGCUUCUCCGCCGGCCUUGUAGACGAUUCUAAUAUCUUUGAAUGGAGCGUGACCAUCAUCGGCCCGCCGGACACGCUCUAUGAUGGUGGUUAUUUCAAUGCAAUUAUGAGUUUCCCACCCAAUUAUCCUAAUAGUCCUCCAACAGUAAGGUUUACAUCAGAGAUGUGGCAUCCAAAUGUUUACCCUGAUGGCCGUGUUUGUAUAUCAAUUCUUCAUGCACCUGGGGAUGAUCCUAAUGGUUAUGAGCUUGCAAGUGAACGUUGGACACCUGUACACACGGUUGAGAGCAUAGUUCUGAGUAUUAUUUCGAUGCUUUCAAGCCCCAAUGACGAAUCCCCUGCAAAUGUGGAAGCUGCAAGAAAAAUAAACGAGUGAUUUCAGAAUGUUCUCUGAUAAACUGGAACAUACCCGCAAGGGGUUACCCAAGGAAGAAUUUGUUGGUGGAAAGAAACUGAAAGUUCCAAUGAAUAGGCUGUGUUGGUGGGUGGAGAUGAAACAUAUUGGCUUGUGAGAGUUUGAUCGCUGGCUCAAGGAUUUGCAGCCAAUAAUCGUUAAAGGCAGUAUUGACUGGCUUCGGAAUGGCAAAAGAUUGGAGAGAUAGGAGGGAUGAAUUCAAGAAGAAAGUUCGGCUCAUUGUGAGGCGUUCCCAGGAGAUGUUGUAAGCAGCACAAAGCAUUAGCUCUGUUUAAAUUGCAAGCCUGGAUGAGUAUUCAGAAGAACAAGGAAGAGAGUCACCUGAUUUUCUUCUUGUCUUUAAUUGUUUGUCAACUGGCUUAUGUAGAAUUUCUGCAAGUUGAUCAUCUUAAGAAGAGACGCUGUCUCACUUUGAUUGUAGUGAAAUGACUCUGUAUUUCUAUAAGGUUUAUGAGUUUUAAUGAAAUUUCUUUUACUUGUUGGUUGGAUUAGCCAUUCUCAGGUUUUCUUUCUGCUCUAUUUAUCAAGGAAAAUAAUGUAUAUGAAAGAAGUUGAUUUUUAUUAUUUGGGGUCAUUUUUUUA